rnacentral:rRNA from 1 species
GACGAACGCUGGCGGCGUGCUUAACACAUGCAAGUCGAACGGAAAGGCCCUGCUUUUGUGGGGUGCUCGAGUGGCGAACGGGUGAGUAACACGUGAGUAACCUGCCCUUGACUUUGGGAUAACUUCAGGAAACUGGGGCUAAUACCGGAUAGGAGCUCCUGCUGCAUGGUGGUGGUUGGAAAGUGUCGGCGGUUGGGGAUGGACUCGCGGCUUAUCAGCUUGUUGGUGGGGUAGUGGCUUACCAAGGCUUUGACGGGUAGCCGGCCUGGGAGGGUGACCGGCCACAUUGGGACUGAGAUACGGCCCAGACUCAUACGGGAGGCAGCAGUGGGGAAUAUUGCACAAUGGGCGGAAGCCGGAUGCAGCAACGCCGCGUGCGGGAGGACGGCCUUCGGGUUGUAACCCGCUUUCGCCUGUGACGAAGCGUGAGUGACGGUAAUGGGUAAAGAAGCACCGGCUAACUACGU